UUCCUCCCACAGAGAACAAAGAAUAUAGCAAAAGGACCUCUAUUCUUGGGCCAUCAUUAUCCUCAGUGCCUGACUGACGUGGAGCAAAUGCAUGGCCAUAUUUGAAUGCCCCGCUAUUUCCUACAGCAGCAGUCAAGUGGUUGUAUAUUGCACUCCACUUUACAAAUGAAAUAAAACACUGGAAGAAGACAUACAUAAGAGAAAAAGCAUUGCUCUCAGCUUUUACGCUGCUUCCUACUUUAUUUGGGACUCUGUCCUCUACCCAGACAUCGGUCAUUUGAGAUCCGUGCCAGGCACAUGUUGGUGGUGAAAAUACAGUUUCCCCCAAAACUUUUUGAGGAUAUAAUCUCUGCAGGGAUUUCAGUGGAACAAAAUUUUCAUCUUGUCAGGGAGAGAAGAAUAUCCUUUUGGUCUGUGGAAGCUUGAAGAAUAGAGUGGAGCUUGCUGUGGGGGCGCAGCAGAAUAAUGUAGCAAGUUGAAAUUAAAUAAUUGAAGUUUCUGGAAC
rnacentral:lncRNA from 12 species